UACGGGGGGUGCGAGCGUUGUCCGGAAUCACUGGGCGUAAAGGGCGCGUAGGCGGCUCGGUAAGCGUGCGGUGAAAGCCUGGGGCUCAACCCCGGGUCGGCCGUGCGAACUGUCGAGCUGGAGCACUGUAGAGGCAGGCGGAAUUCCGGGUGUAGCGGUGGAAUGCGUAGAGAUCCGGAAGAACACCGGUGGCGAAGGCGGCCUGCUGGGCAGUAGCUGACGCUGAGGCGCGACAGCGUGGGGAGCAAACAGG
rnacentral:rRNA from 1 species